rnacentral:rRNA from 1 species
UACGGAGGGGGCGAGCGUUAUUCGGAAUUAUUGGGCGUAAAGGGCGCGUAGGCGGCUGGGCAAGUCAAAGGUGAAAUCCCUCGGCUCAACUGAGGAACUGCCUUUGAAACUGCCUGGCUUGAGGCCGGGAGGGGGUAGCGGAAUUCCCAGUGUAGCGGUGAAAUGCGUAGAUAUUGGGAGGAACACCAGUGGCGAAGGCGGCUACCUGGACCGGUUCUGACGCUGAUGCGCGAAAGCUAGGGUAGCAAACGGG